UUUUAUGGAACACAACUACCCAUUAUAUUUUUUUAAUUCUAAAAUAAAUUUAUUAAAAAAAAAAAAAAAAACCUCUUGCAGGCACAGAAGCGCGUGCGGAGAGGCUAGUUUAUAGGUACACAAAAUAGGUACAAUUACAAAAGAUAUGUUCAUUAAAAAAAAAAAAAAAGGUAUAUUAUUAAUAUGAAAUCGGUACAUUUGUUUAUGCCAAUCAUGGGUUUUAUUAAUAGGAACACAAGUGAUGAAUUACAGUUAAGGAAAAUUCAAUUUAGAGGGGGUAAGCCAAAUUUACUGUUAAGGAAUAUGUGGUCAAGAUUUCUAGGUAUUUUGAAAAAGUAUCAAGAGUGUUAGGGAGUAAUUGAUCAAUAUCUUUCAACAUUUAUAAGAUUUAUAACAAUGUGUGACAUACCUGAGGUAAACCAGGAACCAAAAAGUAGAAACCUUUAAUUGGAUGAUUAGCCAGAGACAUCUGCUCCACAGGUCCAAUCAUAUUUGAGAUUACCAUGCUCGAGUUCUUCAAUGUGCGAUGAAUGUAUCUGCUGGAUGCCUGCAAAACUAACAAUAUGUUAACACUAAAAGAAACAAAUCUGAAUUUGAGCUCUGAAGCAGAUUGAAUUAGUUCAAAUUAAUUGGGUCGUGAAAUGACGGCGUAACGUAAAUCAUAUUGUAGUCUUCACUUUACUAACCUCACGGCUUCCAAAUUUGUUCACAAUCUCCAAUAGCCUACUAGUGAAAUGAGCAGCUAAAGAGUUUCUCUUCCUCUUUAUCAUUUUGUGUGUGUGCCUGAUAAAGUCCUCCGCAUUUGAGAGUUCAGUUAAAUUGGGUAUGGGUACUUGCAAGAAUGUAAAACGAUUUCCCCAUGGCAUCUUGCUGUUGGGUUUGAUCAUCUCCUCAAUUGGCAUAUAAUCCCCCAUGAGCCUUGUGUUCAGCAACACCAUUGCUGUACAAUCUGCUGUGCUUGAACUUUGGUCAAUCUCUUGCAUGUACAGUCGAGUUCCGAAGAAGAUCAUCCCGGUGAGAACAUCAUUUAGAGUCUAAUAGAGUCAGUAAAAAAGUUAAUUACAUUGUAUAAAUGUGGAAGAACCGCUUCCCAAAUUCUGUACCGACUUAUUUCAAGAGGCAGUAAAUGCAUUUAUUUCAAUGUAGUAUAUAAUAUUAAAAAGUCAUGAUGGUUCACAAAUAAAUCAAUAUCUGACCCAUUUCACUUUUCAUUUAAAUAUAGAGAAUAUAAUAAAACUUUAUAACAUGAGAUUUCUGACUACAAAAAAGAUGGUAGCUUUUGUGACAACUGCUACCUAUAUCUGAUGUUAUUAUGAGAUAACUUUGUCACAAAUAUCUGAAAAGCAAUGAAAAUGAUAUGUCGUAGGCUCAGUUUGGGAUUGCUGUCAUUUAAAAAAAAAUUUGUUUCUGCUGUGCUUUGAAAAGAAUUAGUUGUAAAGUAAAGCAGCUCUAUGUUUGAUAAAUAAUAUUUUUAAAGUGCUGUUAGUAUAAAAAAACAAUGUCAAACCGUUUGGUAAAUUUUAAUAUAAAACUGUUAUAACUGUAAAUAAUGACUAAAAUAUACAUGAUGUUGAAAGUGUUAUGCGCUAAUCAUGUGGUGGUGGUGGAGUGGAGGUGGUGGUGAAAGAUGUGGUGAUGAAGGUGGAGUUGGUGGUUGUGGUAGUGUUGGUGGUGGUAAUGGCAGUUGUGGAGGUGGUGAAUGCGGUAGUGGAGUUGGAUGUGGAAGUGGAGGUGGUGUUAUUUUUUUAAAAUAAAUAAUGGUAUUUUGGGAAUUAAAAAAAAUCAUUAAAGGCUUAUCUCGGCUUCUUUUGAAAACAACUUUGAAAAGCAACCUAGUGCCUGCUUUUUAAAACUGCUGUCAAAAGGCCACUGUUUUGAAAAUAAUCUGGAUAUUUUAUUUUUACCAAACACCUUAAACUACUUAAUUUUAAAGUGAAGCAGAUUUUUGGCCAAAAAAGCAAUCCUUAGAUUGCUUCAAAUAUUCUCAAAUGAUUUUGGUUUGGAAUUAAAUUCUAUAGUAAAUUUAGCUUAACUCUUUUAAAGUCAUUCUAUAACCUCCCAUGUAACCUCGUAUAAAUAUGUUUUCCACGAGUUUAAACAAUUUUAACACUACGUACUAAAGAUUCUGGAAGCCAAGUAUGAAAAAGAAAAGACAUUACACAUAUAAGAGUCCUCGAAUGAAAUCCUAAUAGUUGAGUCAUCUUACCACUCCAAACUUGUUCUUGAUUGAUUUGAGUUGAUCAAGAGAGAAGGUCAUAGUUGCUAUAGUACUUGGGCGAAAUUCAAUUGCAUCGUUGCUCGACUUGAUUGGUGUUAGAUCAUCUUCUUUCAAGGUCUUCGAAAUGCCCCACAAAAUAUCUGAAAUUGUGUUGCAUGCAGAUGAGAAAAUCUUAGUCACAAAAAAAUUCUCCCUCUUCUUCGAUUCUGACCGCUGUCGUGAAGGAAAAGUUAAGGGGAGAGAAGGGUUGUCAGCUCUUUGUAGGGUAGAAAUGAGAGCACCCAUGAGAGAGUAGCCAUCUCCUAGAGCAUGGUGAAACUUGAAGACUACAUUACCAGCUGCAUUGCUAGUUGGGUACUUGAUAAUAUGAACUUCCCAUAGUGGUUUGCCUUGUGGAUAUCUUUCUGUUGAUAACCUUGACAAAUAGUCCUCAAGAUACUGGUCAUAUGAUUCAGGCGACAGGUUGGAAGGGAAAAUAGGGAUCAUAACGUGGUCUUCAAGCUUCACUUCGACCCUUCUCCACUCUUUCUUUCCAUCAUUUUCAACCUGUUUCAAAAUCAAAUAUCGCUCAAGUUUUCAACUUCGUCUAUGAUAAAACUUGGAAACAAAAUUCACACUAGGUGAGAGAGAGAGAGAGAGAGAGAGAGAGAGAGAGAGAGAGAGAUAACCAUGAUAGAGGAGAAACGGGGGCUGAUGGGGAGGAAGACGUUCUUAAGCAAUGACAUUGUUUGAGACUCGGCAUCAAUAAUUGGAAUCUCAAAUUCCAAAACAGCAAGAACCGAAAGAGUUAUCACAUCACUGCUGAAGUACUGGCCAUUUGGGCUCACUGGCUCUAGUCCUUCCAAGUUCCCGAACUCCAUCUUCUUUGCUUUUACAAGAAAUUAUACUUCCUUCAUAACGCAUCGGUUGUGCAUUUAUAGCAGUUUCCCCAAUUCUAUCUUCUUCCCAAAAAAAAAAAAAACAUAUUUAAUAUUUUUGGUAGCUGCUAUGAUUCAUGAUCACUGUCCUUCCAAUUUACUGGGAUAGCUUAACAUUAAAUAUUCGAGACACGACUACUUAAUUUUCACCUUUCUUUUUCUUUAAAUAGCUGUAUCUUAUAAGAAUGAAAAAAGAUUUUCUAGUGAUAUUAUUGGUACGUAUAUGUUAUGCUGAAAACUCAUCCAAGGGUUGAGGGUUGAGGGUUAAGUUUUUUUUGUGUGUUUUUUGAUGAAUUAGUUUUGUAUAUGUGUGUCAAAUUGUGAUUUGUAGAAAGGAGGUAAGCGUGUCCUUAGAAUUUAUAUUGAAAAUGUAAUUAUAUAGAAUUCUAAAAAGACAUAAUUUAGACAUAAGCACAAAAUGAACACAAAAACUAUCAGUAGUAGAGUAUCUAGAUUGGGGUGAUUUUCAAGUUUUCAAUAAUAUAUCGUUUAGGAGUGAUUCUAGAUAGGUCAGAAUCUAUUUUGGGGAGAGUGCUUCUCCAUAUAAUCACUUUUAGGUUUUUUUUUUUGUUUUUUUUGUUUAGAAAGAGAAUUCAUUCAUAGAACCAAAGACGUAUAAAGAACGACAUGAUAUAGUGACCUCGUUAAAACCUUUCUAUUCUCUCUAAAUUUCUAAGGGAAUUUUUUUGAAUUUUAUUAUUCGCAAUUUGCCAAGAAUUUGUUAACAAACUCAAUUAAUUGAAUGCGAGCAAACAACACUUUAAGAAAAUAAUUCAAAUCGUAACUCAAAGUCGUUAUCCAUAUUUCAAUCUAUACUCCACAUCUAUUAGCUGCCAACAAAUGGCAGAAGGAGGAGUGGUUGUCUCUAUUGUCCUGGUGUGAAGCGAAAGUGAAUGCUUCCUUGCUUUUAGAGCAGCGUUUUGCAAAGCAAAGUUUAUGUUGUAAUUAUUGGUUUUUUUUUUUUUUUUUCAGAUAACCGGGCCACGAUUACAAUUGAAUGCUGGCAUAAUAAACCCAACUAACUCAUUUGAAUGGAUCCAAUCUCUGCCAUUGGAAAAAAAAAAACAAAAACCAAUUAUUUUACAGAGAGUAUGGGUUGGACCAUUUAAAGAAGUUGGUUCGGGUUAUUAUGUCAGCAUUCAAUUGUAAUCGUGGACCAGUUAUCUAUGAAAAAGAAACCUUUUCGAUAAGAUGAAAUAAUAUGAUAACAAGGGAAAAUAUCAACAUUGAGCAUGGGCAGAAUAUCGCCAUGAAAAUCAUAAGCUAGAUCUGGCAGUGGUAUUAAUUGGUCAGAACCGGAUUAUAUGGUCUGCAUGCAUGAUCCAAUCUCUACCAUUGGAUCAAUAAAAAAACCAAUUAUUUUACAGAGAAGGGAUUGGAUUAACUAAAAUAUGCACGAUAUUAUAUCUAGCCCUGGAUCUUUCCUCAUCAGUCGAGAUCUUGCAUACGGCCCAAUGGUGAACAAAGGUAACAACUAUCAUUGUGGUGUUGAGCUCUAUUAUCCCCCCGCCACCGGCUACCAACAUAGUUUUAUACAGAGCAUCCUGAUACAGCCCAUGGAUUCCAUCAACCUGUUUUUUUCUUGGUGUGUGGAAUUUAAAGAGGCAAGAGAAGUCACCACCUUGACAAAUUUCAACAAAGACUUGGUGAAAUCCUUCAGUAUUUCGAUUAGAGAUCACCGGUUUAGUGACGCUAAUAUUCUCAUCAGCUAGUGGAAAGAUAUGUCAGCUAGUUGGUUUUCUCAACCAUGCUUGGAGAUUGAAGAUAGGAUCUUCAGGCAUUGCCCAUGCUCAUUGAUCUAUCAAUAAGAAAUAGAGAAGAAGAAAGCCCAAGCAAAAGGUAAGAUAUUUAUUUAUUUAUUUUGGCUAUCUUUCUUCUUUUUCUAACCCUUCAAAUCUCACAGCCGACACUGCCGAGAAGGAAAAUCCUCCGCCCGACAUUAUUGAGAGGGAGGGCUCCGCCAAUCCCGUUGAUGCUAAUUCUGGGCACCUUACGAAAUACAAGCAGCCAGAUUAAAUUUGAGCAUGCUAGAGUCCUUGUGGCGGGGCCGUGGCUGGAAGCUCAAAAGGGAUACAAGACUUGAAUUCGGUUGGGCUGCGUUUAAGCUUGCAUGAAGAGUGCUGCUCAGUUUUAUAGCUGGAAUAGUGGUCGGGUUUGCUGGAGUGUAGCGGCCGGGUUUGCUGGAAUGUUGUGGUCAGGCCUUGUUCGAAUGCAGCCAGGUUUUGUUCGAAGUGUGGUUGGAAACAAGAAGGUGGCCGGGCUUUGUUCGAGUGAGUUUGGAUAGCUCAAACGUGGCUAGAAAGUAUGGCCGAGUUUUGUAGUUGGAGUCGAGCCAGGCUUGAACCACAGAGCUGCGACCGAAUGCAGUUGAGCAGCCGGGUGAAGCUGGGCACGGCUGGAGGAGCUGGGGCUGCGAGAUGCGGCUGGGCAAGACUGAAAUUGCUGUGAUUCUGGCGGGCGGAAUUGCUGGAGAACUUGGGAAACUUUGAGGUCUUGUGAAUAUGCGGCCGGGUCUUAUUUUAUGUUUAUGUAUUAUGAGCAAUAAAAAUGGAUGGCCUUUUAAGAAAGCACGGAGGUCCAAGCCCAGGCCAUUGAUUCGAGCCCAAGAUUUCUGGAAGAAUAUAUGCACAUGGAGGAGGCUUCACAAGGAAAAAAAAAGCAAGGAGGUUAAUAAUAAUUCUAAAUGUUCCAAAACAAGAAAGAAUCAAGCAUAUCAGAAUAUCUCCAUCAAUGCAAUCCCAUGGAUUUAGGGAGGCCUCGGAAGGAACGAAGUUUUAAAAGAGUUGACCUUUGACCAUUUAAUAGCCAGCCCAUAGGCUAACGAAUGCCCUAUAUAAAUCUCACCAAACGAAAGAAAGAAACACACAACAUCAGACAGACAAACCUAUCUUUCAUCUUGCACUUUUCUUUUCCUAGACUUAGGAUUUUACUUUUCAAGUACCUAGUGUAGCAAGUUCUUCCUUUUUCUAGUGUAAGUUUAUUCUUUUUCAAUUUAUAUUUUCUUGUCAUUUAAAUUCAAGUUUAUUUCUAUUGCUUUGCUUUUCAUUGUUAUCGCACUUCAAUUAAGUUUAAUUUCAAGUUUAUUUUAUUUUAUUGUUCUUAUCGCUUUUAUUUCGUUCUUGCUUUACUUAUCGCUUUGAUUUAUUUUGUCGCACUUUUAUUCUUGUCUUUACGUUUCAACGCACCUUUAGUUUCGUUGCAUUUUUUUAAUUUAAAACCCUAAAAAUAACAAAAACAUCGGUUCGAAGCCUAACCAUCCUCGAGCUCGACGAAGUGAAAGAACCUAGGCCAAGAAGAGGUUCCUUGCUUGGCCGAUCAAUUGUUUGAUUAGAAGUUAAAAGUGCAACACAUCCAUCUACUCACAUUCUAUUCAAGCUCAAAUUCAUGGCUUAGUGGUGGCACGCCUCAUACUCAAAAGAAGACGGACCAAAAGUUCCUUCCGUUGGCCGCCUCCACCAAAAAGAGGGAAACACCUUAUCACAUAAUAUUGGGCCCUCCACCGAACUUGUUGGCUAUCUGACCCAUUUGGGGUUUUCAAAUAUUGCACGAUGUUGUGCCUUAAAUCCUUCAGUGCUAUGGUUAACACCAUAACUUCCGCUGGGGUUCCUCUUUCAAAGACAGAGGGGAGAGAUCGUUUCUCUACUCUAAAAAUCUCCUCAGAGAGCCCCUCAGAGAUUUGCACUCUGGAUGCUAAUUGGGCUAUAGCGUUGGCCUGAGAGUUGUGCGCCCAUGUUAGAUGUUCGAGACCCGUCAAUAUAGAGGAGCCAUGGAAAUAAACUCAGCUUGCUGACCUCAAGGAAAUCCAUUUCUUUUAUUUGAACACAAGGUUGGGCGGCUAAGAAAUCAGCCAAAGCUUGCCCUUUGAUAGCCUAUUGAGGUACGUACCGGAAAGUGAACUCCGCCAAUGCCAUCGUCCAUUUUGCUAUCCGCCCUCUAAUGAUCGGCCGAGUGAGCAUGUAUUUUAUCAAAUCAGUUUUGGCAAUUAUAUGCACGACGGAAGGCAACAUGUAAUGCCUUAACUUGGUCGUGGUAAAGUAUAAGGCUAAGCAAAGUUUCUCCAUCGGCAAGUAUUUCCUCUCGGUGGCUGUUAGAAUUAGGCUGAGGUAGUAUACUGCUUGCUCUUUCCUCUCAUCGUUGUCUUAGGCUAACAAACUUCCGAUGGACUUCUCUCCGGCCGAAAUAUACAAUUUCAAGGGUCGGCCCUACUUUGGCAGAAUGAGCAUUGGAGGUUUGACCAAAUACUCUUUAUUGGUGUCGAAUGACCUUUGGUGAGUCUCUUCCCAUAGAAAUUUCUCUUCAUCUUUGAGUUUUAGCAAAGAUGAGAAAGGUUCAACUUUUCCCGCGAAGUUGGCUAUAAACCUUCGAAGAAAGUUAAUUUGGCCCAAUAAACUUUGCAUACCUUUCUUGUUCUUUGGAGGGGGUACGUCAAUGAUAGCCUUAGCCUUAUUUUUAUCAAUUUCAAUCCCCCUUUGGUGUACCAAGAAUCCUAAAAAAUUUCCAGCGGACACCUCGGAAGCACACUUUUUUGAGUUCAUCUUCAAUUGAUGCCUCCACAUAAUCUCCAUUUUCAAUUAUUAAUAUAUAUAUAUAUAUAUAUAUAUAUAUAAAGUGGGCAGUUGCAAAGAAACCUCUCCAAUCCUGAAAACAGCCCAGCUGCAAACAUCCCAAGGUUCUAGCCCAAAAAAAAAACCAGCAACUCCCGAUUGCCCCAAAUCUCGGCCACACCUCAUCCAACUCAAAGACCCGGCGACACAUCCUUUGGGCAUCUCGAGCUGCACCUCCAGUAGCGAAAAGCUAGCAAUCAGCCGCAAACAUUCGGCCGUAACAGACUUCUAGCCUGGCAGCAUCUUCAGCUCCUAGUUUGGCUGUAGCCCAGUCGUGUUCUCUAGUAGAUCCGGGCGCCCCACUCCAGCAAAUCUAGCGUCCUUCUCUCAACCCAGCUCCAUCCGACACGACCCUCCAAAUCUCUGGCCAUGAACGUCUGGGCCCCGACAGCAAAUCCAUCUAGUCAAGCUCUCGCAACCUAGCUCCAUUUGGCUGCAUUCUCCAACUGCAAGCCAUUCCGGCCACACAACUCCAACAUUCUAGCCCCCAAGCUCUGGCCGCAAUUCUGCAUUUCAAGUCCAAAUCCGGCUGCAUUCUCGCAAGCCCCAAGAACUCCAAACCCGGCCACAUCGGGUCCUGGGCUUCAACCGACUUGGCUCCAAAAAUUUUAACCACCAAGAUUCAACACCCCGGGCCGCAUCUCAAGCUUCAACCCGACCAACCUCUAUUCUUCACACUGAGCAGUCGUCUGUUUUCGAAAAGUGCCCGAAUUGGGUGAACUUUCACCAACACCAAACAGCUAGAACAAUAGAACACCAAUAGAUGCCCCUAAUUUAAUAUUUGAGGCAAUCAUAACACCAAUAGAAGCUUUGAGAGAUAUUGGGAGGUUUUUCAACCUAGUGGAGGACAAUUAUAUUUGUUAGGAUUAACGAUAUUUAAUUCAGAUAAAAAGAAAAAUGAUAUUUUAUAAAUCUAAUCAAAUUACGCUCUACGUCAACUUCAUUAAUUUUAUGUCAAAUUGGUAAUGUGGCAAGUGGGAUGCUUACUUUUAUGCUAAAAAAUAAAAAAUAAAAAAAUUCUUGAAAAAUAAUAUUUUUAAAACAAAAAAAAUUAUUCUCUCUCUCUCUCUCUCUCUCUCUCUCUCUCUCUUUCUCUCUCGCUCUUCUCUUUGCGUUUUUAUGAAAUCUUAUCUUGGAGAAGGAUAAUGUAGAGCAUUCUAAAAAAUAAAGCAUUCUAAAGGGACAUAUCUUCUGAGAAGCUAAUAUGAUAGUUGCUUCCUUCCUCGUCCCUAUAAUACAACAAAAUAGAUCCCAAAAUAUAAUUUUGAAGUCUCUUAAAUCAUGGAGCUUUGUUGUUCUUUAUAACGGAUCAAUUUAUUCUCAAUAUUAAUUAUCUUCAUCAUGUUUCCAACUACAUCACAACUCUUCAUAUCCUUCAAUGAUCCAUGUAUAAGUUUUUUUACCAUGCAUAAAGUAGAGCCCUGCAUCAUAAUUACAAAUUACAACACAUAAAUUACAAUACUACAAAGUAAUUUAAGUCGAUAUCUACAUAUUUACAAGUAUUAUACUCACUUAAUCUCAGAUUUCCACCAAAGGAGUGCGUCUUUAUUGUUGACUCAAAUAUAAUUAAGGUUUUGAAUAUUUCAGUAUGAUUCUAUUCUUCUCACAAGGAGGCAUUUAUAGUGAUAGAAAUACAAGCCUAUCUAUGAAAUAAAUACAUUAAGGAAAAAGGAAAUAAAUACAAUCCCAAUCAAACCGAUAUUCCUAUAAUUACAAAUCAAUUAUAAUAAAGGUAAUAAUUAUAAUUCAUGAUUCACACCAACACUCCCCCUUAAGAUGGCGCAUAAAUGUUGCAUAUGCCCAGCUCGACAAGUGAAUCUGUAAAGACUUGAUUUGAUACGACCUUGGUCAACAUAUCCGCCAAGUGUUCAGUAGUCUUAACAAGCGGAACUUCAAUAAUCUUCCCUUCUAAUUUCUCAUAAAUAAAGUGUUUGGGCCUAAAUUUGACACGCCAAAAUUCAGAAGACAGGCCCAUGGUGAAAUUACCUGCCCAGCCCAAAAAACUUGAGGGUAACAAAAUCAGGAUCCAGACAGGUUGAAAGACCAACGUGGAAACUUUCAUUUGGGCUUCAGGGAUCAGCCCAUAAUUUUUUGUUGGGUUCAAACCCAAAGGAAUUAAAAACACACCCACGUGAUUGCCUCAACUUUGAAAAGUCAGCAAUUUCAACUAAGUUAAAAAUAUGAGAGGGACAUCUCUGAAACACUGCCAGCAGAAGAUCAAAACCCAUCUGUGAUCAGAAAUUUUGCUCCAAGAAGCAAUACACCAUCUUCCAAGGAAUUCCCGGGUCACGCUUUCUAAAUUAGAACGGGAAACAGGGAGUUGUGCAGAAAAUACAAAUAAGAAAACCAACUGCCAUAAAAUUUAGCCCACACAGACGGUGGCGUUGGUUGAAAUAAAAAUCUGCAAACCCAGGAAACCAGGGAAGGGACUGCUUUAGGAGGUGACUACUGAAAGCCUAUCUGCCAUGAUUGAUAAAAAUCCCUUUUACUUUACAUUAUGGAGAUCUUUUUACCGCCCAUUAUUAAAAUUUAAACAAAAGACCACCGCCCUAAGAGGGUCUCUUAUAAAAACGAAGGUAGGCAAGGAAGGAAGACACUCAAUUCAUCAAUCAAUCAAAAAAAACAAACAACAAGAAAACAACCAAAAGCUCACUUGGAUUCCAAGAGAAACCAGCUUUAGAUCAGAAUUUCAAAGUUCAGACUUAGAAAAUAAGUCUUCUAAAACGAGAUCUCUCUCGUUACAAAUUUGGUUCAGCAAAAGCCAAGGCAAGCAGAGUUUGAGUUUUCACAAAUGUGGAGACCUCAGCGAACUUAUGAAAAGUCCUGCUCAAGCAGAACAACGCUCGUAGUGCAAUCCCUAGCCCACCAAGCCCUCGAGAACAGCCACUUCUGCCUCUUCAAACUGAAGAAGCUGCAGUUUUGCCCACUAAAAAGCCUCCCAAGGCUUGAAGUAGAUUAAAUCUCUGCCAAAAUUGAACUUUGGUAUCGAUUUACAGCUGAAGCUAAGCAGUUGAAAUUGUUGACAACUCAGUCUAGCACAGACAUACUCAGUCCAGCCUGGAUCAGAAGUUUCUACCCAGGCAGAAAUGGGAUUCCAGCCAUCUUUUUGUCUUUCUAGAGUUGAUGUCUCCCUUCUUAAUUUUGUAAAAGGCAGUUCUGCCUAAAACAGUCCACUUUAUUAUUAUCUAUUCUGGCCAGAACAACCAUUUGAUACUGAGAUAAAUUAUGAAAGUCCUCACCAGUCUGAGGCAAGAAAAGAACUUACUUGGGAGAUAUUCCUCACCCAAAUUCACAAUCGUUUGUUUUAGAAGUCAGUAACUUGGGGCGCAAGUUAUCCACUCUAAAAGAAGUCUGCUAGAAUUUACAUUGCUAGCAGUGGCACGCUCACACACCAAAGAAAGCUGACUUGUCGACCAACAAAUGGUCUCCAAGCCAUUGGGGAACUUCGCCCUUCCACCUCAGGAGUAAACACGAAAACGGGUAAACAUAAAGUUCCAAUCAACUUUACAUGUUUCGUUCUGUCAUGCUGAAUUGGAUUAUCAAAAAUCUUAAUUGCUGACUGAUUAUCACAAUACAACUUCAUAGUAUUCUCAGUAGGAAUACUCAGCUCCCCCAUAAGUCUUUUUAACCAUAGAAAUUCACAAACACCUUUCAACAUAGCCUGAUACUCUGCCUCUACACUAGACGAAGAGACAACCUUUUGCUUUUUAUUCCUCAAAGUAACCAAGUUACCUCUUAUAAAAGUGAAAUAACCAGACUUCGAUCUCCUCUUAUCCUCUUUUCCUGCCCAGUCUGAAUUCGUAUACCCGACAACCUUUACAUGCUUUUGGUUUAAGAACAUCAAACAUUUUCCUGGUGCAAACUUCAAAUACCUCAAAUUCGGACUACUGCAUCCAUUUGUCAGUUUGUUUCAUCGCAGUGAGUAGCAUGGGGUUAUCUUGUUUCUAUUAAAGUUGGCUUACCAAAGAUGCGAAAAGAGGAAAAAGAAAAGGCAGAAAAAAGUGUUUCAGACCAGUGCUCUAAGUUUUGGCGCUUGAGUGGAAGUUGCAGGCACUCAAGCGGCAGAGAGAAGAAUUUCCACCCAGUCCCAAGUGCUCAAGCGGAAGUGCAGGAGCUUGAGCGGAUGUCACAAAUUCAACGCAGACCCUUGGUGUGUUUGACUAGGUUUUUCCUAUUAUUUUAGGAUUUUUUAGCCUAAUUUAAUAAGGUUUUAGUUUCCUAUUCCUAGUUAACUUGUACCAAAAGUCCUAUGCAUUAUAAAUAGGACUUUUAGGGCUAGGUUAAAAUCAAGAGACAGGAAUUUUCAAGAGAGAGACACAAGAGAAUUCGAAGGGGAAUUCUAGGGUGUUUUUGAAGUGCAUCAAGGUUUGAGUAAGGGUGAGAGAAAAUAGAGCUAGUGUUCUUGUGAGAUCUAAGGGUGUUCUUAAUUGUAACCAAAGUUGACCUUAUAUACUAGUGAAAUUCUCGAGUGGAUCACCAAAAGGACGUAGGCAUGAGGCCGAACCUCUAUAAAUCUUUGUGUUCUUGCAUGUGUUUGCUUUCUCUCUUCGGUGUGUAUAUUUUAUUAUCAAGUGGUUCAUGUGUGUGUCGUUGCGUAGUUCAUCAACGACAAGGUCAUGGAGUAUUUUCGCACAACAAGUGGUAUCAGAGCCGCAGUUGCGGGGGUUUAUGCCCAAGUGCUCUUACUAUUUUAAGAGCGGUGGCAUGUUGAUGAUGGCAGGUGACAAGGAGGCGGUGGGAGAAAGCUCCCAAGAGAAGACACCACAACAUAUGUCGAGUACGAAGGUAGAGUUGAAGUCGUUCACUGGCAAUGAGAACUUUAUGCUUUGGUAAAGGAGGAUGAAGCAUGUCCUUAAGCAGCAAGGUCUCAGCUUUGUUUUGGCAGACAAGGAGAAGAAGCCGAACACCACGACGGAAGUGAAAUGGGAAGACCGAGAUGAGCUUGCUAGAGGAUCUAUUGAACAACACCUCACUGACGGAGUGUUGUGUAACGCAAUAGAAGAUACCGCAAAGUAUACAUGGGAGAAGCUUGAAGAGUUGUUUGCGUCAAGAUUGUUGUCCAACAAGCUCUUUUUGAAGGAGGAGCUCCACUCUCUGAAGAUGGAGGAGGGCGAAAACAUGAUGGAGCAUGUUAGUGUCUUGAAUAGGUGUAUUGUAGAUUUGCAAAGAAUGGAUGAGGUUUAUAAGUCAGAAGACAAAGCCAUGAUGUUGUUAACAUCCUUGCCUCCGUCUUAUAAACAUUUCCGCACGACGUUUAUGUUAGGCAAGGGAACUCUGAGUAUAAAGUGGUCAUGCAAGACACCUAGACGCAUGACAGGAUGCUUCAACAUCAGGAUAUGGCUCUCAAAGUGAAGGUCUCAUGACAAGGACUGGAAGGAGAGGAGUUCAAACAAGUGUGGAGACAAGUCAAGUAAAGGUAGGAAUUCUAGAUCCGAGGCUGAUGAAGGGUGCUUCGAGUAUGGAUCUAAGGACCAUUGGAAGUGGAAUUGUUCAGUAUGUAAGGUGAAACGGAACAAGAUGAAGGAUGCAAAAAGUUCAUGUGCAAUAAACGUAUCAACUAGUUGUGAAACCGAUGAUGAACUUUUGACGGUUACGGAUGAAGAGCAUAAUGGGGAAGUCGUGGCACAUUCUUUAGGUAAAAGUUCUACUUCAAUUUAGAUUCUAGAUUCCGAUUGUUCAUUUCAUGUGUGUUAAAAUAGAAUGGAGUUUAAUACAUAUGAAGAAAGGAAUGGUAGCAAGAUUUCAUUGGAGACAAAACAAGUUGUGAUGUUUUGGGCGUGGGAACAGUGAAGAUCAAGACUCAUGAUGGUGUUGUUAGGAGCCUUAGUGAAGGGUAUUCACUAGAUAGAGAAAAGGCAGUUUGUUUGUUUCAACGUGGGGUGACGGUGAUGGUGUUGUCAGUUUGUUUUAGCGCAAUGAGUAGCAUGGGGUUAUCUUGUUUCUAUUAAAGUUGGCUUACCAUAGAUGCGAAAGGAGGAAAAAGAAAAGGCAUAAAAAAGUGUUUCAGACCAGUGCUCUAGGUUUUGGCACUUGAGUGGAAGUUGCAGGCACUCGAGUGGCACAGAGACGAAUUUCCACCCAGUCCCAAGUGCUCAGGCGGAAGUGCAGGAGCUUGAGCGAAUGUCACAAAUUCAGCGCGGACCCUGGGUGUGUUUGACUAGGUUUUUCCUAUUAUUUUAAGAUUUUCUAGCCUAAUUUAAUAAGGUUUUAGUUUCCUAUUCCUAGUUAACUUGUACCAAAAGUCCUAUGCAUUAUAAAUAGGACUUUUAGGGCUAGGUUAAAAUCAAGAGAGAGGAAUUUUCAAGAGAGAGACACAAGAGAAUUCAAAGGGGAAUUCAAGUGCAUCAAGGUUUGAGCAAGGGUGAGAGAAAAGAGAGCCAAUGUUCUUGUGAGACCUUAGGGGAUUCUUGAUUGUAACCAAAGUUGUUCUUACAUACUAGUGAACUUAUCGGGUGAAUCACCAAGAGGACGUAGGCAUGGGGCCGAACCUCUAUAAAUCUGUGUGUUCUUGUGUGUGUUUGCUUUCUCUCUUUGGUGUGUGUAUUUUAUCUUCAAGUGGUUUGUGUGUGUGUGUCGUCGCAUAGUCCAUCAACAACAAGGACUUGGAGCAUUUUUGCACAACAAUUUCAAUUACCACCUAAUGAGCUAUAUAGAUUUUCUCAUCAAAUUCUGUCAUUCAAGAUGACUAGUGAUGAAAGAGAUGGUGUUUCGAAAGAAUCCUUUGAGUUUGAGCCUGCUUCUUUGCCCUCCAAUCUUGAUGAUUUCAUUGAUUUGAAAAAGGAUAACAGAGCCAUGAAUACUGAACCUAAUGGUUUGUCCCGUGAGUUCUAGAAAGUGAAGGCAAACCUGUAAUGGGAUUGUGCAUUGUACAAUUACAUAAAGAAAAUUCAUUGAAAGGUGCAUGUACUGCCAGAUAUUUCACUUAGGAUUGCUAAAUUUUGGUUUGAUGGUUUAGUUUUCUUUUAAUGCACCAGUAUACAAUAAUAUGCUAUAUAGGUGUCCGUAAUUUCAUUUCCUUUCAGACAUAUUCCAAUAUUCUUCUUUCUUGUUUCAAUAAUUUUCUGUUUUUGAAUUUGUUUUUGUUGAAGUUCAACUUGAUAUCAUUAUUGGUUAUAUAAGUAGUAAUCAAUACUUAGUUUGAUAAUAGAAUAUUGACAUUGUCUUCCUGCUAACAAACAAAUUUUAUGUCCGUUUUACGUGUUUAAGUCUAUAAAAUUAAGAAGCCACUGUAGGGUUUUGUUGGGAUACACAUCUGAAAGAACUUCAUGACUUGGUGAAAGGCAAUGGUAGCGAAAUGGCUGGGCAUAUUGAAUUUUUGCUUAGUAAAUCACUGUGAGGUAUAAAAGCCAUGUCAAAAUGUGCUCCCAUAGCAGUUUACUAAAUUACAGAUUUUUAUGCAAACUCAAAAUCUAAAAAAGGACACAAAUUCAUGUAAAAAGUGAAACCCAGUUUAGGAUUGGUAAUAGGGUGUUGUGUGAUAGAUUGUAUUAGGGUAUACUAGGAGAAUUUUUAGUAGUUAAAUAGGGUGUACUUAGUUAAUUUUAUAUUUUGAUUAAAAUAUUACUCUGUACUAAAAUCAUAGGGUGUACUCAGUUAAUUUUAGGAUUCGUUUAGCACCACUCUAUUUAUAUUGUCAUAUUUAAUCAGCUCUAAUCUCUGAUUAAAAAAAAAGAAAAGAAUUCUCUGAUUUUGAUUUGGGCUCCCUAUCAUAGUGGACUGGGCCUUUAGUUUAUAUUACUUUGAUUAGGCCAAUCUCUCAUGGAUCCUCUUUAUAUCAGCCCACCCCCUAGUUUGCCUCUCUUUUCUUUUUCUUACGCCCAAACGUGCUCUCAAGAAAGAAAGAAAAAUCAAA
rnacentral:lncRNA from 1 species